rnacentral:misc_RNA from 1 species
UAUAAAUCACAUUAUGAAUGAAACUGGAGCAACUGUCUUGCUAAGAGGACGUGGUUCGGGAUAUUCAGAUGAAGGACAGGGAGAAGAUGUUCACCAACCUCUGCAUUUACUCAUAUCAAGCAAUAACAGUGCAAGUCUUGAGCGUGCGAAGCUUUUGGCAGAAAAUCUUUUGGAUACUAUUUGUGCAGAGUGUGGUGCUUCUAGAGUCUCUUCUUGUAAGGUUUAUGGAGCUGUUCCGCCUCCACUGCAACCGUUAGCCAGCGUUCAGGUUUCUGGAAGUGAAUCAGAAGUCAAUAACACACCCACAGCCAAUGUAGCUGCACAGAUUUUGAGCUCCUCAACUGCAGCAGCAGUUCCCGUGACUGCAGCUGCAGGUGGGACUGGUGUUGUUUCUCAGGGUACAGUACCUCAAUCUCUAGGCUCACUAGAUCCUGUGCCAUCUCAACCUCCCACCAGUUGUUAUCCUCAUCAAUUAGUUACAAGUAGAACAAGCUAUAUUGGCUAUGAUGGUAUAUAUCCCCAAGCCACUGCUUUGCAGCAAGUUGCUUUGGCUCUUAGGCAAUCUACUUCUCCAGUCACUUCAACAGUUCCUCCAGCAACAACGGGACCAAGCAUCACUUCACAGACAAGUACAGGUUCUGAGAAGGACAAGCGCCCUGCACAGAAGCGUAAAUUUCAAGAAUUGCCGGCUGGUGGAAAAGGCCAAGCAACUGUAAACCAGAAUCCACUGCAGGCUACGGAGCUUCUAAUGCUUCAGGAACGAAUUUCAGAGAAAGGUGAUACAGACAAAAUUGGUAUUCCGACUCCCAGAAAGUUGGUUCAGCCCUUAUCCAGUUCAAUGCUGCCGCCGCCACCUCCUAGAAUGAUGCCUCCACCGCCGCCGCCACCAAAGUUUCAAUCAUCCUCACAGAAAGUGCAUGAUAACAAUAUGGUUAACAAAGCACCAAGUAAAAUUGUACCAGAUACAUUAGUCCAGCUAAUGGAAUAUGGGGAUGACGACGACGACGAUAAUGAUGAAGCAAUUGACGGACCUUUGAAAAGUAGCUCAAGUGCGGUAGCGACUCCAAAGCCAUUCUGGGCUGUUUAAUAAUAUGACCACUGCACAUCUCUGAAGAUUUUGGCAACAGCUGAAUGUGCAUUAUAAGUUGAAUGGUUGUUUUCAAUUGACCUGGAAGUGGCUGUGAAAUAUAAAAUAUGUACCCUUCCCCACCCCAGCAAAAAGAUGUGGGGCCACCAAAUGGAGGAAAAGAGGAAAGGAGAGUUCUGUAGUAUUGUGCCAAUAUGAUAAUAUCAGAGUGUAAGUGAUGCUCUAUGUAAAAUGACUCGUAGAAAUUCCGCAACCUUGUAUUUCCAUUCAGAAGUUGUUUGCUGCUGGCUUGUAGUUUCACUCUGAACUCUUUAUGAAACAAAGAAAUGCCAGCAGUUUAA